CGCCCACUAAAAACCACUUUAGCACCUCGAGCGAUGGAGUAGCUAUUAUUAACCACGAAAAAUGAGUGAUGUGGGCGAAAACAGUGGCAGUGAUAACCAUGGAAAAGGAGCAGCUUCCAACGAAGAAAUUAUUGAUAAAAAGGGUUCAACUGUUUCAGUUAUUUGGAAGUGGUUUGACUUUUUGAAGUCCGACAAAGAGCCCUACGAGCAAACAUCGAAAAGACACAAAGACAUCACAAAUGCUAUUAUGCAUUGCAUUGCUAAGGACAUGCUACCAAUUAGCACAGUCGAAAAGGAAGGUUUUAAGAGGCUUACCAAUUUAAUUGACCCCAGGUACGUGCUCCCUGACCGCAAACAUUUCUCUCACACCGCACUGCCUUAACUCUACGCCGAGUGUAGGGAAACAGCUGAGGAACAGCUCAAGACAGAUUUUAUGUAUUUUGCUACUACUACCGAUCUGUGGUCUAGUUGCACGUCAGAGCCUUAUAUUAGCCUCACUGUCCACUAUAUUGACAGAGUGGAAUCUUCAAAAGAAAUGCCUUCAAACAUCAUACUUUCCCAACGACCACACAGGAGAAGCUAUAGCAGAGGGGCUCAUUCACGUUCUAGCCUCCUGGGGACUCAGUCAAGACAGACCGGUCUGCAUUACAACGGAUAGUGAUGUGAACGUGGUGAAGGCCGCUCAAAUCAACAAAUGGACCCGACUGCAAUGUUUUGGACAUCGUCUGCGCUUGGCCAUUGAGUGGGUAGAGACAAACGGGUGGAUCGAGCAAUUGGAGUGUGUAAGAAAGUGGUAGGUGCCUUUUCCUAUUUGUGGAAAAAUAAGAGAGACCUGGCAGUUGCUCAAAAAGAACACAACCUACCCCAGCACAGUUGGUGACAGAGUCGCCUACCAGGUGGGAUCACGUCAAAAGAUGGUGCAAAGAGUACUGGAGCAGGAGAAAGCAAUUUCACAGGUCUUGUCCAGUGACAAGAUCCAGCACUUAGCUCCCACCUAUACAGAUAUAGUUGUUCUUGAGUCCAUCAACCAGGCAUUGACCCCACUCCUAGAAUUCACAGAUGCUCAGUCUGGUUAGUCUUAUGUCAGUGUGUCUUACCUGAAGCCAGUACUACACCUGUUCAGUACAGAAGUCAUGAAACCUGAUGAUGGUGAAAUAGAGCUCACCCAAACCAUCAAAACGAUAGUCAUGGACUAUCUGAAUGAGAAAUAUGAUUACCUAGCCACAGAUGACCUCCUGGACAUAGCCUCGUUGGUCGACCCUCGGUUUAAAACACAUUACAUCUAAGAAGAGAAGGUGGGCCACAUAAAAGCACGAGCUGUCUCAGAUGGUCAAUGAGGGCCAUGAAAACCCAAGCCCAGCACAGGGAGACGUUGCUGCUGCUUCACCACAACUGCCAGCUAAAAAGAGAGUCACUGGGCAGUUUUUUCAAAAAGCCAUGCUCCACCACCACAGGUCUUACUGAAAUCCAGCUGGUAGAAAAGGAACUCAGCUGCUACUUUCAGUCUCCUGAUGCAGACCGUGAAACCAAUCCACUAGACUGGUGGAAGAUCCACCCAAAAAACUUUCCCCAAGUCAGCCACCUGGCAAAGCGCUACCUGUGCAUUCCUGCGACCAGCUCCCCCUCAGAGCAUGUUUUUAGCACAGGUGGCAACAUAGUGACCUGCCGUAGGGCAACUUUAAAGCCAGAGACUGUAGACAGACUUGUCUUUCUUACUUAUAAAGUAAGACAACUACCCCUAUAUAAACUGUGAUGUGCCAUUAGGCUAACAGUUAUAAUGAAUAUUGACUUGCACUAUUUUAUAAAAAAAAAUGUAUAUAUUUAUUGCUCAUGACUUGUAAGGGUUUACAGCUUUUUUAAAAAAGGAGUUAAAAUGUUAUUUGUGAGUUCUACUUCUGACAAAUAAGAAACAUUAAAGUCUUUGGUUUGUUCAGGUA